UCCUAUGACAUCCCUGGGAAAAGUUGACAAUCUUGCAGUACCUAAAAAAGUUAAGGUGGGUGCUGGACUUUUUCAUGAAACCCAAUAUAUCCAUGAAGAAGUCCAAAAUGUCCAUAUUGUACCAUUUAACCCAACUUCUCUCUAAACCCAAAUGCCAACAUCUCAGUACGGAGUUUUUUCCACUCUCACUGCACCUUCCUCCAUAUUAUUUGUUGUGGUUCCCUGCUGCUCUGUUUGUUCUCUCUCUCUGCAGGAGGCAUGGUUGACCUACCUUCCAGAACAUGCUGGUGAACGUUUCCACCUGCGCAGCUCCACCCCACCUGCUCCUGAUCAUCAAUCAGGAGUGCUCUUUAGCCGGAGCCGCCCGCUCACCAGCGUCAGUUUGUUGUUUCGCACCAGCUGAUUUGUAUCCCAAGAUGCCAGAGGAGCAAUGCCACAUUAUACUCCAUGCUCCUUCCCAUGGGUCAGUGCAGUCUUGGAUGAGCCACAUUUCACUGUUCUCCACCAGACGCGAGCCAUGCCCAGAGGCAGUCAAGGAGACUUCUAGCCUGCUCUUCAGUUGGAAAACUCUGCAGACAAUUGUCCAAAGAAAGACUGCAGAACUGAUGUUUUGUUGUCUUCCUCUCCCCCAUCCUUCACAUGGCACUGAAGAGCAUAUGUGGCACAAAAAGGACUACAUCUGGUCCCAAAUGGCAGGACCUGCCACUCCUAAGCCUCCACUGGUUCCUCACAUCGCAUAUCCCUUCAUAUUAAAGGGAGAAAUGGUCCGUCCUCAGCCAGCAAUCUGAUCUGAUGAAAUAUGCCUUUAAUAUCACUAGAGAUGGCAACAGAAUGCUGACAGAAGUGCAGCAGAACACCCAUCAAGGAAGGGCUCAGAACUGGGGUUGCACUUUGGGCAGUGUUUCUUUAAAUCACAUUCAGGGCUCUGUGUUCACAAGCACAUUUCCAGCAACGUCCUUUCUCUUGGAUCCACCUCUUGACAGCAUCCCUCGUCAGCUGACAAAAAUCAGGACAGACAGGGCAAGUCUCAGUUGAAUGCUGCUGAGCUUUGCUUCGAGGAUGACGACUGGUUCCAUGAAGUAUAUUAGCCACUGGAUUGUUAGGCUUUGAGUAGCUGAACAGGGAAAAGGAUUCACACAGGUGAGCUGGCUGCCUAAAUAGACUCCAGGGCUCCGCCCUCCAUUGAUGGGAGGGGGAGGGAGGUGGGGAUUUUCAACAUUAUGCAUGAUUUCAAAUAAAAAUUCUCCAAUGGCUUUUGAGUUCAAACCACUGACCCAUGAUUUAUUAGAAAGUAAGUACUUGCUAGUUGACGUCCAAAUUACACAAAAAUAACUCCUUGAGUUGAAAUAAUUUGCUGACAGCUUGGUCCCCCCAGUUCAAAAAUCCCACCUGCGUCCCUGUUUAUUGGUAAUUAUUGCAUGCAAAUGUCCCUUAAGCACUUUCACAUAAAGUCUUAGGUGGAAGGAGGAUGACACUUUAGCAGAAGAAGCAUGACUACAAAGUUAUAAGGGACUAAUAGUGAGUUGGUGGGUCCAUACAAAGAUGUUGGUCAGACCCGACAUUGCAGUAUACACCCAACAUGUCUUUAUUACACCCUAAUUCCCACAGGUUUUUUCCACAAAAGAGGCUAAUAUGGAGAUAUUGGGUUGAGACUGCAGAUUCAACAUAGCAGGAUAGACACUAGUUGCUGGUAAUGUUGCUGCUCAAAUAAUUUUUCCCUUUAAUUAAAUUGUCUCUACUAGAUAUGAUCAACCUUUCUCUAUGAAGAGGAUAUAUACCACAGUUCUAUAAACGAGCCAUAAUUAAACUACUUCUUAAAAAGCCUGCUGUUCAUCCAGAGGUUUUAGCGAACUAUAAACCUAUAUCUAACCUUCUUUUUCGCUCUAAGAUCCUUGAGGAAACAGCAGCCAAUCAGUUAUGUGACUUCCUAUACAAGGAUUUUCAGUCAGAUUUUGGAGCACAUCAUAGCACAGAGACAGCACUGGUGAAAGUCACAGAUGAUCUCUUGGUUGCCUCAGACAAAGGACUUGCCUCUGUUCUGGUCUUGUUAGUUCUUAGUGCUGCAUUUGAUACCACUGACCAUCACGUCUUCUUAUAAACAUCUUGAGACAGGAACACUUAAUUGGCAUUAAACUGCUUUCAGUCUAAUGUCAUGGCCAAUAAAGCUGGUUGAAUUUAGUUGUCUUGUAGUUCCUGUUCUAGUUUGAAAUUUUUCUCCUCUCAUUUCAGGUAAAUUGCCCCUUCCCCUUGUGAUUCCCCACCAGUCUGAUUGUUUCCACCUGUUCCCCCUUACCUUGUGUAUUUAUGGUCUGUGUCUCCCUUUGUCUGUGCCGUUCGUCUUCCAAUGCCACUAGGAACCAGCUCCACGCCUUUGCAUUGAUUACACAGUAAUAGUUUCAUGCCCCUACCUUGUCAGGUUUUUUUUAUCCAUUUUUGUUACUUUGUCAAGUCUGUUUUAGUUAGUUGCUUUUUCCCUCGUAAGAGUGUUUUUUGUUUACUUGCAGAAGUUGUCUUUUGUCCUCCGUGUGAGUGAUUUUUUGUUGAACAUUGAUAAUAAAAGACUUGUUUGAUUUUC